UAGAUUUAUAAUGUGAACCUCACUACAUUUUAUUCUCUCAGAACUAAUUAUAUUUAAUUCCAAAUGAUUCACAAACAUUUUGUUCUGGAAAACAAGAAUAACUUAAAAUUAAUGAGUAGGCUGUACAAAUAUAUGCGUAUAUGGGGGGGUUUAGGGGAGGCUGCUCACACUCUAAUGAAGGUGGGCAGAAUGAAAUAAGAGUGCUGGGGUCCAUCGCAUGGCUUCCACUUUCCCUUCAGCCUGCCUUGAUUGAAAACAGAACAGCUGUGAUGAUUUAAUUUACAUGUUAAUAACCAACAGGCCUGCCAAUAAACGCCUUUUUAUCGCCGCUUACAUCUCCUCCCUACAGAGGGAGGGUAGAAAGAGGGGAGUAGUGAGGGAAUGAGGAGCUAGUAAUUAAUUGUUUUAAGAGAUUCUAUUAAAAUAAAAUUUCGUACGAUGAAUGCUUGCUGCAGACAGAGGAAGAAGAGAAUGUAGAAAAAACAAUUAGAGGCCAAGAUUGAAGAUGGGGGAAGAUUCUCUUGUUCCCUUCAGGUACACAUUUAGCAAUAUGUUAUUAAGGGAAAUAAACAAACUUUUGCAAAUCUGUAGACAAAGGAAACAGGAAAAUAGCUCCGUAUACUAAUGUUAUUAUUUAAUCUUUGCAAUAUACCUGGCAACCUAAGGACCGCUGAAAGAGAGAGUGAAGGAGAGAGUUACGCCCACAUCAGGAAUUUUAAGGAUCGCAGGUACCUAUGCAACGACAUCAAGAACACAGGCACCAGGAAAGCACAUUGCCCUCAGCAGAGCACCAGACUACGGUCCAUGUGAUCUUUCUCAAUAUCUCACCUGAUGCCUCCUCCCUUCUAAAGCUUGAAAAUUCAUAACUGAAUGCACAGAUAUACCUGUCAUUCACUUACCAUGUCAUCUCAGUGAAGGAACCUGACCAUCAUGUGCGGUCAAGCUCAGCUACAGUGCCCCAAGAUAUGUAGAGAUCUUGAUGAAGCAUUCAGUUUUUAGACUUGUCAGAUGCUUGAAAUGAACAUGUUUUUGAUUUCUCCUUGAGUCAUUUUGUAGGCUGCAACAAAUCUGUAUGUAGUAAACAGGAGUACAUGGGUACACUGAGUAUGUCUUCUUUACACUGAAAGCAGAAUAAAUAUUACUUAUGCUGCAUUAUUGGCACUGAGUGUUUAAAGCAAGAAGUUGCAGAAGUUGAAUAAAUUGCUGUGCU